rnacentral:lncRNA from 1 species
AUUAAUUUUUAAAAAUGGUUUCAUGAAUAACUGAUAUUAAAUUUACCAUUAAAUUCUUUAAUUGUUAUGAAUAAUGUCAUUAUUAUUCCAUGCUUUUAAAGCCACAGCAAUUUGGGAAAAGCAGAAAUUAAAAAAAUAUUUGAUAAAAUAUUAUAUCAUCUUUGAAAAUGACAGGCUAAAAGCUGAACUAUUGGAGAUCAUUUACAUUUCAAAUAUACCAAAGAGGGGGGUUAUAUCAUUUUUUAAAAGUACUGAAAUCACUUUUCAGAGAUUGUUUUUUAAUCCUUUUUAUAAUACAAAUCAAAAUUCCACAAGGUUCUAUAGCAUGAGUC